rnacentral:rRNA from 1 species
ACUCGAGUGGCGAACGGGUGAGUAACACGUGGGUGAUCUGCCCUGCACUUCGGGAUAAGCCUGGGAAACUGGGUCUAAUACCGGAUAGGACGAUGGUUUGGAUGCCAUUGUGGAAAGUUUUUCGGUGUGGGAUGAGCUCGCGGCCUAUCAGCUUGUUGGUGGGGUAAUGGCCUACCAAGGCGACGACGGGUAGCCGGCCUGAGAGGGUGUACGGCCACAUUGGGACUGAGACACGGCCCAG